rnacentral:rRNA from 1 species
GACGAACGCUGGCGGCGUGCUUAACACAUGCAAGUCGAACGGAAAGGCCCCUUUGGGGGUACUCGAGUGGCGCACGGGUGAGUAACACGUGAGUAACCUGCCCUUGACUUCGGGAUAACUUCAUGAAACUGGGGCUAAUACCGGAUAGGAAUCCUUGCUGCAUGGUGGGGGUUGGAAAGCUUCGGCGGUUUUGGAUGGACUCGCGGCUUAUCAGCUUGUUGGUGGGGUAGUGGCUUACCAAGGCUUUGACGGGUAGCCGGCCUGAGAGGGCGACCGGCCACAUUGGGACUGAGAUACGGCCCAGACUCCUACGGGAGGCAGCAGUGGGGAAUAUUGCACAAUGGGCGGAAGCCUGAUGAAGCAACGCCGCGUGCGGGAUGACGGCCUUCGGGUUGUAAACCGCUUUCAGCAGGGGCGAAGCUUGUGGUGACGGUACCUGCAGAAGAAGCACCGGCUAACUACGUG